UACAGAGGGUGCGAGCGUUAAUCGGAAUUACUGGGCGUAAAGCGCGCGUAGGCGGCUUUGCAAGUCGGGUGUGAAAUCCCCAGGCUUAACCUGGGAACUGCAUUCGAGACUGCAUUGCUAGAGUAUGGGAGAGGGAAGUGGAAUUUCAGGUGUAGCGGUGAAAUGCGUAGAUAUCUACAGGAACUCCGGUGGCGAAAGCGGCGUGCUGGACCUUUUCUGACGCUGAGGCGCGAAAGCUAGGGGAGCAAACAGG
rnacentral:rRNA from 1 species